rnacentral:lncRNA from 1 species
AUAACCAUAUGCACAUUCCAUAUUAGUUACGCAUAUAUUGGAGAACUAGAUAGCUAACGGAACUGUGCAUCAAGAAAAGCUAUGCUUGUAUCAAGUGAAAAGUGUACACCGAGAACGUACUUAGAGCAACCAAAAAUAUAAGUAGUAUGCUAUGUAUCGAAUACUGAGUGCAUGUGCAUCAGAAUGACUAAUGUAGUCUGGGAUAAAUAAAUGUGGAUCAACAAAUCUUAUGAACGGAUAAAACGUGUAUCACCCAAGAACAAGGCCAUAGGUGUUCAUAUUGGCCUCCUAGUAGGUGGACCGUGAACAAAAUAGAAAAAUACACUUUUGGAAAAGGUAUGUGUAUUUGUACAAAAAAAUAACGUAUGCGUAUUGUUAUAUGCUAUCCGUCUCGUUCAUUUAAAGACGUGUAUCAAUGGAAAUAGAGUGUACGCAUCAGUUUGUAUAUGUGUAUCAAUGCAAAUAGAACAUCCUCCAAGACUUGAUGUCAAUAUCUU